ensembl:snoRNA SNORD79 Small nucleolar RNA SNORD79
UGCUGUAUAUGAUGACUUUUGUUUAAAACAUUGGGAAUCUCUCUGAAUAAGAGUGAAGGAGAACUUUUUUUCUGAUGCGGCG